rnacentral:lncRNA from 1 species
GUUUAUUAAAAGAACAUUUUAUUAAUAUCCAGGAAAGGAAGUGAUGAUUAUCACAAUAGCAUAACUUCAUCAAGUAUAAGUGAUACCAGAUUAAAUAUUUUCCCCUCUCUUUUUUGACAGAUCAUGAAAUUGGUAUACCACAACAAGGCUAGAAAUGAAAUUUAUCCAGAUUUUAGCAAAGCAUCUGCCAAAGUCUCUCAUGCUAUUCAUAUGGAAAAUAAGGAAAAAGGUUCAAAAGCCACUUCUCACAGAGUUUUUGGCAUCUUCUGGGCACAGAGCAGGAUCUAUGGAUAUAAUGAAGUAACAGGAGCCCUCCAUGCCAUGGACAGGGGAAGAGGAUGGGACUCCAACCACAGACCUGGACUCUGACAAUGAUGACAAAUUUGAGAUCUUAGGGAUGAGGUAGGGGCAGGGUUAUCCUUCCCUCACUCUUUUUGCAGAUUUUGAUGUUGCAUGUUCCUGUAAUGCAGACUUUGUAUAAAAUAUGGAUGUCCUGUUCUAAGGGCACAGGUAUUUAUUCUGUAAUCCAUUUUAAAACACGUGCCAAAUCCAACCUUCUAAUAAAUAAGAUAGAAAAAAAUAGUGUGGUAAAAAA